GUUAAGCGACUAAGCGUACACGGUGGAUGCCCUGGCAGUCAGAGGCGAUGAAGGACGUGCUAAUCUGCGAUAAGCGUCGGUAAGGUGAUAUGAACCGUUAUAACCGGCGAUUUCCGAAUGGGGAAACCCAGUGUGAUUCGUCACACUAUCAUUAACUGAAUCCAUAGGUUAAUGAGGCGAACCGGGGGAACUGAAACAUCUAAGUACCCCGAGGAAAAGAAAUCAACCGAGAUUCCCCCAGUAGCGGCGAGCGAACGGGGAGCAGCCCAGAGCCUGAAUCAGUGUGUGUGUUAGUGGAAGCGUCUGGAAAGGCGCGCGAUACAGGGUGACAGCCCCGUACACAAAAAUGCACAUGCUGUGAGCUCGAUGAGUAGGGCGGGACACGUGGUAUCCUGUCUGAAUAUGGGGGGACCAUCCUCCAAGGCUAAAUACUCCUGACUGACCGAUAGUGAACCAGUACCGUGAGGGAAAGGCGAAAAGAACCCCGGCGAGGGGAGUGAAAAAGAACCUGAAACCGUGUACGUACAAGCAGUGGGAGCACGCUUAGGCGUGUGACUGCGUACCUUUUGUAUAAUGGGUCAGCGACUUAUAUUCUGUAGCAAGGUUAACCGAAUAGGGGAGCCGAAGGGAAACCGAGUCUUAACUGGGCGUUAAGUUGCAGGGUAUAGACCCGAAACCCGGUGAUCUAGCCAUGGGCAGGUUGAAGGUUGGGUAACACUAACUGGAGGACCGAACCGACUAAUGUUGAAAAAUUAGCGGAUGACUUGUGGCUGGGGGUGAAAGGCCAAUCAAACCGGGAGAUAGCUGGUUCUCCCCGAAAGCUAUUUAGGUAGCGCCUCGUGAAUUCAUCUCCGGGGGUAGAGCACUGUUUCGGCAAG
rnacentral:rRNA from 1 species